UCAAAACAGCGGCCUUCGGGCCUCGCUGCACCCUUGUCUUUUGCGCACCGUAUUGUUUCCUCGGCGGGCUUGCCUGCCGGUUGGACAUCAUAAAACCUUUUGUAGUUGCAAUCAGCGUCAGAAAACAAUAAUUAUUA
rnacentral:misc_RNA from 1 species